CCUACGGGAGGCAGCAGUCGAGAAUCAUUCACAAUGGGGGAAACCCUGAUGGUGCGACGCCGCGUGGGGGAAUGAAGGUCUUCGGAUUGUAAACCCCUGUCAUGUGGGAGCAAAUUAAAAAGAUAGUACCACAAGAGGAAGAGACGGCUAACUCUGUGCCAGCAGCCGCGGUAAUACAGAGGUCUCAAGCGUUGUUCGGAAUCACUGGGCGUAAGGCGUGCGUAGGCGGUUUAGUAAGUCGUGUGUGAAAGGCGCGGGCUCAACCCGCGGACGGCACAUGAUACUGCGAGACUAGAGUAAUGGAGGGGGAACCGGAAUGCUCGGUGUAGCAGUGAAAUGCGUAGAUAUCGAGAGGAACACUCGUGGCGAAGGCGGGUUCCUGGACAUUAACUGACGCUGAGGCACGAAGGCCAGGGGAGCGAAAGGGAUUAGAUACCCCUGUAGUC
rnacentral:rRNA from 1 species